rnacentral:rRNA from 1 species
AUAAUGCAAGUCGAACGAACUUUCAUACACCGAAUGCUUGCAUUCACCGUAAGAAGUUGAGUGGCGGACGGGUGAGUAACACGUGGGUAACCUGCCUAAAAGAAGGGGAUAACACUUGGAAACAGGUGCUAAUACCGUAUAUCUCUAAGGAUCGCAUGAUCCUUAGAUGAAAGAUGGUUCUGCUAUCGCUUUUAGAUGGACCCGCGGCGUAUUAACUAGUUGGUGGGGUAACGGCCUACCAAGGUGAUGAUACGUAGCCGAACUGAGAGGUUGAUCGGCCACAUUGGGACUGAGACACGGCCCAAACUCCUACGGGAGGCAGCAGUAGGGAAUCUUCCACAAUGGACGCAAGUCUGAUGGAGCAACGCCGCGUGAGUGAAGAAGGUCUUCGGAUCGUAAAACUCUGUUGUUAGAGAAGAACACGAGUGAGAGUAACUGUUCAUUCGAUGACGGUAUCUAACCAGCAAGUCACGGCUAACUACGUGCCAGCAGCCGCGGUAAUACGUAGGUGGCAAGCGUUGUCCGGAUUUAUUGGGCGUAAAGGGAACGCAGGCGGUCUUUUAAGUCUGAUGUGAAAGCCUUCGGCUUAACCGGAGUAGUGCAUUGGAAACUGGAAGACUUGAGUGCAGAAGAGGAGAGUGGAACUCCAUGUGUAGCGGUGAAAUGCGUAGAUAUAUGGAAGAACACCAGUGGCGAAAGCGGCUCUCUGGUCUGUAACUGACGCUGAGGUUCGAAAGCGUGGGUAGCAAACAGGAUUAGAUACCCUGGUAGUCCACGCCGUAAACGAUGAAUGCUAGGUGUUGGAGGGUUUCCGCCCUUCAGUGCCGCAGCUAACGCAAUAAGCAUUCCGCCUGGGGAGUACGACCGCAAGGUUGAAACUCAAAGGAAUUGACGGGGGCGCGCACAAGCGGUGGAGCAUGUGGUUUAAUUCGAAGCAACGCGAAGAACCUUACCAGGUCUUGACAUCCUUUGACCACCUAAGAGAUUAGGUUUUCCCUUCGGGACAAAGUGACAGGUGGUGCAUGGCUGUCGUCAGCUCGUGUCGUGAGAAGUUUGGGUAAGUCCCGCACGAGCGCAACCCUUGUUGUCAGUUGCCAGCAUUAAGUUGGGCACUCUGGCGAGACUGCCGGUGACAAACCGGAGGAAGGUGGGGACGACGUCAAGUCAUCAUGCCCCUUAUGACCUGGGCUACACACGUGCUACAAUGGACGGUACAACGAGUCGCGAGACCGCGAGGCUUAGCUAAUCUCUUAAAGCCGUUCUCAGUUCGGAUUGUAGGCUGCAACUCGCCUACAUGAAGUCGGAAUCGCUAGUAAUCGCGAAUCAGCAUGUCGCGGUGAAUACGUUCCCGGGCCUUGUACACACCGCCCGUCACACCAUGAGAGUUUGUAACACCCAAAGCCGGUAGAGUAACCGCAAGGAGCCAGCCGUUCCG